CCUACGGGCGGCAGCAGUGAGGAAUAUUGGUCAAUGGACGCGAGUCUGAACCAGCCAAGUAGCGUGAAGGAUGACUGCCCUACGGGUUGUAAACUUCUUUUAUAUAGGAAUAAAAUGAGGCACGUGUGCCCUUUUGUAUGUAUCUUAUGAAUAAGGAUCGGCUAACGCCGUGCCAGCAGCCGCGGUAAUACGGAGGAUCCGCGCGUUAUCCGGAUUUAUUGGGUUUAAAGGGAGCGUAGGUGGAUUGUUAAGUCAGUUGUGAAAGUUUGCGGCUCAACCGUAAAAUUGCAGUUGAUACUGGCAGUCGUGAGUACAGAUGAGGUGGGCGGAAUUCGUGGUGUAGCGGUGAAAUGCUUAGAUAUCACGAAGAACUCCGAUUGCGAAGGCAGCUUACUGAACUGCAACUGACACUGAGGCUCGAAAGUGUGGGUAUCAAACAGGAUUAGAUACCCUUGUAGUC
rnacentral:rRNA from 1 species